AAUGCUUAGGAAUCUGCCUAUUAGUGGGGGACAACAUUCCGAAAGGGAUGCUAAUACCGCAUACGUCCUACGGGAGAAAGCAGGGGAUCUUCGGACCUUGCGCUAAUAGAUGAGCCUAAGUCGGAUUAGCUAGUUGGUGGGGUAAAGGCCUACCAAGGCGACGAUCUGUAGCGGGUCUGAGAGGAUGAUCCGCCACACUGGGACUGAGACACGGCCCAGACUCCUACGGGAGGCAGCAGUGGGGAAUAUUGGACAAUGGGGGGAACCCUGAUCCAGCCAUGCCGCGUGUGUGAAGAAGGCCUUAUGGUUGUAAAGCACUUUAAGUGAGGAGGAGGCUACUGAGACUAAUACUCUUGGAUAGUGGACGUUACUCGCAGAAUAAGCACCGGCUAACUCUGUGCCAGCAGCCGCGGUAAUACAGAGGGUGCGAGCGUUAAUCGGAUUUACUGGGCGUAAAGCGUGCGUAGGCGGCUUUUUAAGUCGGAUGUGAAAUCCCCGAGCUUAACUUGGGAAUUGCAUUCGAUUCUGGGAAGCUAGAGUACGGGAGAGGAUGGUAGAAUUCCAGGUGUAGCGGUGAAAUGCGUAGAGAUCUGGAGGAAUACCGAUGGCGAAGGCAGCCAUCUGGCCUA
rnacentral:rRNA from 1 species